GGGUCAUACGUCUGCGCACAUUAUCUUCUUUAUUAUUGGCUCUAUUGGGAUCGAUGUCUAUAAAUACGGCCUUGAGAAUCUGCACUGGACCAGGAUAUUCACAUACUGUAUCUUAGAUCGUCAGAGGUUUAAUUAGCAAAGCCAGCCAAAAGGGGCUCUCUGAUCGAUGGGGUCCUUCGCCAGAGCAGCUCGUUUCCUGGUACUCCUUCAGAUCGCGCUGUUCGUCGUCUCCGCUGUCAUCAUGAGCGGCUCCGUCUGCCAAGGAGCCCGAGGGAUCAGUGGUGGCGCUAUGGACCCUAACCGUCCUGCAGUGUGCAUCAACGGAUCGUGCGGACGUGGUGAUCCCUAUACUGGUCGACCGUGCAGUGUAAAGUACAGGUGCAUACCACCGGCUGUUAAGCCAUAA